CUAUACGUGACUAACCAGACAAGAGGGAGGAGAAGGGGAGAGAAGAGGCUGCUAAGAUUCUUUCACUUCUUCAAAGGAGGAGAGAUCUGUUGAGCAAAAAGUAACAGACUGCACACUCCCAGUGAGAGACAUGCAUGGUGUAUUUCAAUGGAGUUAAAAGGCUUCCAGUUCCUGGAAGCAAGUGAUCAUGUGAGAAUCUCAGCUUUCAUUUAUAAAAGAGAGAGGAGAGUAGAAAGAAUCUUCCCUAGAAACAGCAUGAAUCUCUUCUAUUGAAAGUUCAGAUCCUGUUCUGAUGUAACUCUCUCUUUUUGAUCUCGGACUAUUUUUCUUUGGCACCGGAUUGAAGAAUUUAAAGGAGUUGAAGAGAACCGAUCUUAUAAUUCAGGAGUUAUAACAUGGGAUCUUUCAAAUAAAACCAAUGAUGCACUAAGAGUGAAAGAUA